GGAGUCGGCUGGAUGGUCGCUAUCCCGUUAAAACGGGAUAGAGGAAAGUCCGGGCUCCACCGGGCAAGGUGCCAGAUAACCUCUGGGCGGCGCGAGCCGAAGGAAAGUGCCACAGAAAAUAUACCGCCCCGUUACUAAGUUAUCACGUUGGUCUAGACGUAACAGGCUUAGUAACGGGGUAAGGGUGAAAAGGUGCGGUAAGAGCGCACCGCGCUGAUGGUAACAUCAGUGGCAGGGUAAACCCCACCUGGAGCAAGAUCAAAUAGGGAUCCAAUAGUGUGGCCCACACUGGAUCCGGGUAGAUCGCUAGAGUUGGACGGUAACGUUCAUCCCAGAUAAAUGAUCAUCCACGACAGAACCCGGCUUACAGGCUGACUCCCAAC
rfam:Gammaproteobacteria bacterium RIFCSPLOWO2_02_FTLL_52_10 rifcsplowo2_02_scaffold_1096, whole genome shotgun sequence.